AUUCUGGUUGAUCCCGGCGGACCCGACUGCUAUUUGGGUGAGGAUAAGCCAUGCAAGUCGAAUGGGAUACCUAAAUUUCCCAUGGCGAACUGCUCAGUAACACAUGAUCAACUUGCCCUAUAGAGAGAAAUAACCUCGGGAAACUGAGGAUAAUUUUUCAUAAUUGAAUUGGCUUGGAAAAGUUUUUCAAUAAAAAGGAUAAAGAGAAUGGUCUUUAUUCGCUAUAGGAUAGGAUCGUGUUCGAUUAUGGUAGUUGGUGAGGUAAAGGCUCACCAAGCCGAUAAUCGAUAGGGGCCGUGAGAGCGGGAGCCCCGAGAUGGGUACUGAGACAACGACCCAGGCCUUACGAGGCGCANCAGGCGCGAAACCUCCACAAUACACGAAAGUGUGAUGGGGNUACCCANAGNGNUCAAUAUUGAACUG
rnacentral:rRNA from 1 species